rnacentral:rRNA from 1 species
GGGGAGCCCUAGCACAGGUGCUGCAUGGCCGUCGUCAGCUCGUGCCGUGAGGUGUUGGUAGUCCCGCAACGAGCGCAACCCCCGCCGUUAGUUGCCAGCGGUUCGGCCGGGCACUCUAACGGGACUGCCCGCGAAAGCGGGAGGAAGGAGGGGACGACGUCUGGUCAGCAUGGCCCUUACGGCCUGGGCGACACACGUGCUACAAUGCCCACUACAAAGCGAUGCCACCCGGCAACGGGGAGCUAAUCGCAAGAAGGUGGGCCCAGUUCGGAUUGGGGUCUGCAACCCGACCCCAUGAAGCCGGAAUCGCUAGUAAUCGCGGAUCAGCCAUGCCGCGGUGAAUACGUUCCCGGGCCUU